rnacentral:rRNA from 1 species
AAAUUGAAGAGUUUGAUCAUGGCUCAGAUUGAACGCUGGCGGCAGGCCUAACACAUGCAAGUCGAACGGUAACAGAAAGCAGCUUGCUGUUUCGCUGACGAGUGGCGGACGGGUGAGUAAUGUCUGGGAAACUGCC